UACACUCCUACGGGAGGCAGCAGUGGGGAAUAUUGCACAAUGGGCGCAAGCCUGAUGCAGCCAUGCCGCGUGUAUGAAGAAGGCCUUCGGGUUGUAAAGUACUUUCAGCGGGGAGGAAGGCGAUAAGGUUAAUAACCUUGUUGAUUGACGUUACCCGCAGAAGAAGCACCGGCUAACUCCGUGCCAGCAGCCGCGGUAAUACGGAGGGUGCAAGCGUUAAUCGGAAUUACUGGGCGUAAAGCGCACGCAGGCGGUCUGUCAAGUCGGAUGUGAAAUCCCCGGGCUCAACCUGGGAACUGCAUUCGAAACUGGCAGGCUAGAGUCUUGUAGAGGGGGGUAGAAUUCCAGGUGUAGCGGUGAAAUGCGUAGAGAUCUGGAGGAAUACCGGUGGCGAAGGCGGCCCCCUGGACAAAGACUGACGCUCAGGUGCGAAAGCGUGGGGAGCAAACAGGAUUAGAAACCCCUGUAGUCCCAUGAU
rnacentral:rRNA from 1 species